rfam:Triticum urartu cultivar G1812 contig761806, whole genome shotgun sequence.
CAUGUACUCCCUCCAUUCGGAAUUACUUGUCACGAAAAUGGAUGUAUCUAGAACUAAAAUACCUUUAGAUACAUUCAUUUCUGCGACAAGUAAUUCCGAACGGAGGGAGUACUAC